rnacentral:lncRNA from 1 species
UUUUAUGCAUGAGUUGUCUUGAUAUAUUUUACUCGUGUAAGUUUAUGUCGUAAAUUCCUUUGUCUGGCCAACUUGAGAGAAAUACAAGUUGGUUAAUGAUUGAGAAAUCUAUUAACUAGUGGAACUCAUACGUAAAUAUGGAUAGACGUAUUCACUAUAUUAGUCACUUAACUUAAUGCAUAUGGGAAACAGGAAGUUAAACUAGGCAUGAUUUAAU